AGGACGAACGCUGGCGGCGUGCCUAACACAUGCAAGUCGAACGAGGUCCAGUCUGUAGCAAUACAGAUGAAGACCAAGUGGCGAACGGGUGAGUAGCACGUGAGCAACCUGCCCCGAAGACCGGGACAACACCGGGAAACCGGUGCUAAUACCGGAUAUCCCCAUCGAGUCGCAUGGCUUGAUGAGGAAAUGGAUUCCGCUUCGGGAGGGCUCGCGGCCUAUCAGCUUGUUGGUGAGGUAACGGCUCACCAAGGCUUCGACGGGUAGCUGGUCUGAGAGGACGAUCAGCCACACUGGGACUGAGACACGGCCCAGACUCCUACGGGAGGCAGCAGUGGGGAAUCUUGCACAAUGGGCGAAAGCCUGAUGCAGCAACGCCGCGUGAGGGACGAAGGCUUUCUGAGUUGUAAACCUCUUUCAGCAGGGACGAUUGUGACGGUACCUGCAGAAGAAGCCCGGCAACUACGUGCCAGCAGCCG
rnacentral:rRNA from 1 species